rnacentral:rRNA from 1 species
UGCUCCAGUUGGAUGCAUGUCCUUCUGGGAAAGAUUCAUCGGUAUGGGAUGGGGUCGCGUCCUAUCAGCUUGAUGGCGGGGUAACGGCCCACCAUGGCUUCGACGGGUAGCCGGCCUGAGAGGGCGACCGGCCACAUUGGGACUGAGAUACGGCCCAGACUCCUACGGGAGGCAGCAGUGGGGAAUAUUGCACAAUGGGCGCAAGCCUGAUGCAGCGACGCCGCGUGCGGGAUGACGGCCUUCGGGUUGUAAACCGCUUUUGACUGGGAGCAAGCCCUUCGGGGUGAGUGUACCUUUCGAAUAAGCACCGGCUAACUACGUGCCACCACCCGCGGUAAUACGUAGGGUGCAAGCGUUAUCCGGAAUUAUUGGGCGUAAAGGGCUCGUAGGCGGUUCGUCGCGUCCGGUGUGAAAGUCCAUCGCUUAACGAUGGAUCCGCGCCGGGUACGGGCGGGCUUGAGUGCGGUAAGGGAGACUGGAAUUCCCGGUGUAACGGUGGAAUGUGUAGAUAUCAGGAAGAACACCAAUGGCGAAGGCAGGUCUCUGGGCCGUCACUGACACUGACGAGCGAAAGCGUGGGGAGCGAACAGGAUUAGAUACCCUGGUAGUUCACGCCGUAAACGGUGGAUGCUGGAAGUGGGGACCAUUUCACGGUGUCCGUGUUGGAACCAAAGCGUUAAGCAUUCCGCCUGGGGAGUACGGCCGCAAGGGUUAAAAUUAAAGAAAUUGACGGGGGCCCGCACAAACGGCGGAGCAUGCGGAUUAAUUUGAAGCAAAGGGAAGAACCUUACCUGGGCUUGACAAGUUCCCGACAGCCCCAGAGAAGGGGCCUUCCUUUGGGGGGGGUUUACAAGUGGUGCAAGGUUGUUGUUAAGUUGUGUUGUGAGAAGUUGGGGUAAAUUCCGCAAAGAGGGCAACCCUUGCCCUGUGUUGCCAACAGGUUGAGGCGGGAAAUUAAGGGGGGCCGCCGGGGUUAAAUUGGAGGAAAGUGGGGAAGAAGUUAGAUUAUUAUGCCCCUUAAGUUCAAGGGUUUAAGCAAGGUACAAAGGCCGGUACAACGGGAUGGGACCUCGUGAGGGGGGAGCGGAUCCCUUAAAACCGGUCUCAGUUCGGAUUGCAGUCUGCAACCCGACUCCAUGAAGGCGGAGUCGCUAGUAAUCGCGGAUCAGCAACGC